rnacentral:snoRNA from 2 species
CAAUGAAUGUAGCAUGGUACUGUACACGGAAACUAAAUCAUGGGCUUGAAAUGUCUGUGCCCUCUCUGAGUACUUAAUCGGUUCUUUGAUUUGCGGGCCUGGUUUAAACCCACAUUC